rnacentral:rRNA from 1 species
UACGUAGGGUGCGAGCGUUAAUCGGAAUUACUGGGCGUAAAGCGUGCGCAGGCGGUUUUGUAAGCCAGAUGUGAAAGCCCCGGGCUUAACCUGGGAAUGGCAUUUGGGACUGCAAGGCUUGAGUGCGGCAGAGGAGACUGGAAUUCCUGGUGUAGCAGUGAAAUGCGUAGAUAUCAAGUGGAACACCAGUGGCGAAGGCGAGUCUCUGGACAUUUCCUGACGCUGAGGCACGAAAGCCAGGGGAGCAAACGGG